GGCAAUACUUCGUGGAAACAAGAGCAUCUCUCUGUAUGCCUGUGACUGCAGCAAAGAGGCUCUUGAGAGGGCUAAAGAGAAUAUUGAAGCUGCUGAUAUAAACUUGGCUAAAGAACGUUUUUACCCAUUCCAAUGUGAUUUUUCUGCAAGUGGAUUUCCAAAUUGGUUACUCAGCACUUCUUGCCGUGAAAGUUCCUUCCAGAAGCAGAAUAUGUGCUCCUCAGGUGCAGGAAGCUGCAGCAAGCAAGCUUUCCCCGAUCCACCGAUAUCUGCCAAGUACAAUAGCUGCCUUGCCGGAGUAGAUUUUGUCACCUUAAUAUUUACGCUAU
rnacentral:misc_RNA from 1 species